UGUCGUUGCUUACCAUUAAAAAAUUUAGAGACAAAAUUAUUGGGGUGUAAAACAGCUUGUAUUGCCACCCCAUGCUUCCCCUUGGCUACGGGCCUGCAUUGGAGAAAAAUAUGCAAAUCUACUAUGCAAAUGGUCAGGGUUUUACUUGAACAACAGCCACCACUAGCUAGGUACUUAUCAUAUACCAUCUUUUGUCAGGGACCCACAGGCACGUAAAUAAUAGGGGGGCGUGGGGGGCGUAACGCCCCCCCAAAGUUUGGAAAAUCCAGUUACAGUUGGAAAACUUAACGGUUGACUUGGAUUUUUUUCUUAAGUCCAAACUUAUGAAUUUUAUAUUUUAAGAAGUUUUUUUAUUUCAAAUGUAAAAAUUCUAAACAUCAAAAUUCACAGGCUGAAUCUGACUCAUCCAUUUAUCGUUUUCUAUUGUGAAUCCCGUCUCCACUGGAUCCAAAUUGCACAAUUGCCCCGUUUGCUUUCUUUCUGAUGGGAGUUGAAUCAAAUUACGAACAGGCAAGGUGAAUUUCCGGAUAAGAAACUUGAAACUUUACAGUUUGGAAUAAUAAUACCCGCAUUGAUCAGAAAAUUUUAGAGUGGGAGAUUUUUAAGAAACUACGAGUAGUUAAUUCAAUAAAAGAUUAAGAAACUUUCAGUACUAAAAAUUCUUAACGCUUCUUAUAAAAAAGGAGUUUAUGCUAAACUCCCCCUGUUAUUUGUUAACGUCCUUGACUCAUUAUCAUAAAUUCCUAUGACAAAACUGCUGUGAAGCAAGAACACAUUGCAAAAUUGCAGUAGAAGUAUUUGAUCAAAGAAGAGUGUUUCAUCUUUCGAAUCAGGCAUAUGCACAAGUUUGCUCUCAAAUCAUCAUUUCAAUUGUAAAGAACGAAAAGGCAUUUGGUCCUCUGAAAAGUGUUAGUAGUUUUCUUCGAUCAAGAACAAAAAUAAAAGGCUCGAAUUCUGGGUGCUUCUAUAUCGUGAAAAAAAAGGAAUUUUAGAUACAUAGAUCUGCAUCAAUUGAUCAAUUGAUCAAUUUAGAUAAAAUUGAUCAAUUGAUCUGAAAGAAUACUACUAAUCGUUAAGUAUAUCUAAUACUGGUUUUGCUUGAAUGUUGCUUUACUUCUUACAGCAAGUUUAAAUUUUUGUUUCAUGGUAAUCAAAAUUUAGAGAUUUAGGCUUUUAUGCUUUAGGCUAUUUGUUGAGUAAGGUUUUGGUAAUUAUAAAGAAAAUAGAACUAUGGUGUUCGGGCUAUUUACAAAUAUCAAUUUGGUGGGUACAGUAGAUUUACUGGUCGCAUCAAAAAUUUCUCACUUAAAGUUGGAAUUUUCAUCCUUCCACGCCCCUCCAAAAUUAGCAACUUAUUUUCGUCCCUGGGGACCCAGUGCUGCUCUUUACAUGAAGGAAUCACCACAUGGUAAAACUACCUCCAAGUAGAUGGUGAAGUUACCUCCAAGUAGAUGGCAAAGUCACCUCUAAGACAACCAAAAGCAUAGAGUAUUGGAAGGCAACAAAAUGUUCAGUGAAAAUGUCAUCCCGUAGCAAAGAGGCUUAAGGCCUUCCUCAGACAGACAGCAGAGCCAGACAGCAGAGCCAGACGACCGACGAAGAAAACUAGGGGCUUCGUCUAAUCAUCAUUGUGCUAGUUACAAAAGAGAAUCAAAAAAUUGUAUCGCUGAAACCUGCAACCUCCGCAUAAAGAAAAUCCAGAUUUUACAAAAGAGAAUCAGAAAAUUGUAUCGCCAAAACCUGCAACCUCCGCAAAAAGAAAAUCCAGAUUGUAAGUACGAUCUUACGUUGUUUUCUCUGUAAUUGGUACUCCAGUAUGUCC